rnacentral:rRNA from 1 species
GAUGAACGCUAGCGGCAGGCUUAACACAUGCAAGUCGAGGGGUAUAGGUUUUCGGACCUAGAGACCGGCGCACGGGUGCGUAACGCGUAUGCAAUCUACCUUUCACAGAGGGAUAGCCCAGAGAAAUUUGGAUUAAUACCUCAUAGUAUAGCAGUUUCGCAUGAAACCACUAUUAAAGUAUCAACGGUGAAAGAUGAUCAUGCGUCCCAUUAGCUAGAUGGUAAGGUAACGGCUUACCAUGGCUACGAUGGGUAGGGGUCCUGAGAGGGAGAUCCACCACACUGGUACUGAGACACGGACCAGACUCCUACGGGAGGCAGCAGUGAGGAAUAUUGGUCAAUGGACGCAAGUCUGAACCAGCCAUGCCGCGUGCAGGAUGACGGUCCUAUGGAUUGUAAACUGCUUUUGUACGAGAAGAAACAACAUUACGUGUAAUGUCUUGACGGUAUCGUAAGAAUAAGGAUCGGCUAACUCCGUGCCAGCAGCCGCAGUAACAC